GCUAAGAAUAUUCCGCAAUGGACGAAAGUCUGACGGAGCGACGCCGCGUGGAUGAUGAAGGCCGGAAGGUUGUAAAGUCCUUUUAUCCGUGAAGAAGAAGAUUAAGAGGGAAUGCUUAGUUGGUGACGGUAGCGGAUGAAUAAGCACCGGCUAAUUACGUGCCAGCAGCCGCGGUAACACGUAAGGUGCAAGCGUUGUUCGGAAUUAUUGGGCGUAAAGGGCAUGCAGGCGGUCGUGCAAGCCCGGCGUGAAAGACGGGGGCUCAACUCCCGAAGUGCGCUGGGAACUGCAGGGCUUGAGUUUCUGAAGGGCAGCCGGAAUUCCACGUGUAGGGGUGAAAUCUGUAGAUAUGUGGAAGAACACCAAUGGCGAAGGCAGGCUGCCGGCAGAAGACUGACGCUGAGGUGCGAAGGUGCGGGGAGCAAACAGGAUUAGAAACCCGUGUAGUCC
rnacentral:rRNA from 1 species